ACGAACGCUGGCGGCGUGGAUAAGACAUGCAAGUCGAACGAGAGAAUUGCUAGCUUGCUAAUAAUUCUCUAGUGGCGCACGGGUGAGUAACACGUGAGUAACCUGCCCCCGAGAGCGGGAUAGCCCUGGGAAACUGGGAUUAAUACCGCAUAGUAUCGAAAGAUUAAAGCAGCAAUGCGCUUGGGGAUGGGCUCGCGGCCUAUUAGUUAGUUGGUGAGGUAACGGCUCACCAAGGCGAUGGCGGGUAGCCGGUCUGAGAGGAUGUCCGGCCACACUGGAACUGAGACACGGUCCAGACACCUACGGGUGGCAGCAGUCGAGAAUCAUUCACAAUGGGGGAAACCCUGAUGGUGCGACGCCGCGUGGGGGAAUGAAGGUCUUCGGAUUGUAAACCCCUGUCAUGUGGGAGCAAAUUAAAAAGAUAGUACCACAAGAGGAAGAGACGGCUAACUCUGUGCCAGCAGCCGCGGUAAUACAGAGGUCUCAAGCGUUGUUCGGAAUCACUGGGCGUAAAGCGUGCGUAGGCUGUUUCGUAAGUCGUGUGUGAAAGGCGCGGGCUCAACCCGCGGACGGCACAUGAUACUGCGAGACUAGAGUAAUGGAGGGGGAACCGGAAUUCUCGGUGUAGCAGUGAAAUGCGUAGAUAUCGAGAGGAACACUCGUGGCGAAGGCGGGUUCCUGGACAUUAACUGACGCUGAGGCACGAAGGCCAGGGGAGCGAAAGGGAUUAGAUACCCCUGUAGUCCUGGCAGUAAACGGUGCACGCUUGGUGUGCGGGGAAUCGACCCCCUGCGUGCCGGAGCUAACGCGUUAAGCGUGCCGCCUGGGGAGUACGGUCGCAAGAUUAAAACUCAAAGAAAUUGACGGGGACCCGCACAAGCGGUGGAGUAUGUGGCUUAAUUCGAUGCAACGCGAAGAACCUUACCUGGGCUUGACAUGUAAUGAACAACAUGUGAAAGCAUGCGACUCUUCGGAGGCGUUACACAGGUGCUGCAUGGCCGUCGUCAGCUCGUGUCGUGAGAUGUUUGGUUAAGUCCAGCAACGAGCGCAACCCCUGUUGCCAGUUACCAGCACGUGAAGGUGGGGACUCUGGCGAGACUGCCCAGAUCAACUGGGAGGAAGGUGGGGACGACGUCAGGUCAGUAUGGCCCUUAUGCCCAGGGCUGCACACGUACUACAAUGCCCAGUACAGAGGGGGCCGAAGCCGCGAGGCGGAGGAAAUCCUAAAAACUGGGCCCAGUUCGGACUGUAGGCUGCAACCCGCCUACACGAAGCCGGAAUCGCUAGUAAUGGCGCAUCAGCUACGGCGCCGUGAAUACGUUCCCGGGUCUUGUACACACCGCCCGUCACAUCAUGGAAGCCGGUCGCACCCGAAGUAUCUGAAGCCAACCGCAAGGAGGCAGGGUCCUAAGGUGAGACUGGUAACUGGGAUG
rnacentral:rRNA from 1 species